ensembl:lncRNA
CAGCCUCUCUCCUCCAUCAGGCUCCGGACAAUGGUGUCACCAUGAUGCUAGUGUAGCUCAGGCCCAACCACUAGCAUCAUCCGGUGGGAAUGUUUCUGGAGAUAAGAUCCGAGAAUAGGAAGCGCUGAGUCAAGGUCUUCACAGCACUUCGUAGAUGUGUAGAGAUCCUUGGCAUGUAUUCAUCACGAAUAAGAAAUGAGGCUUUGAAGCGCCUGACUUUAUCAUCUCUGGGAGAGGCUGAGAGCACUUUGCAAACCUGAAUAAGGGAUAAGAAGGCAGUACCCCGCUGUGAAGAAAUCAGCAGGAACUUUCCCAGCCAGUUUCUUCCUGCGUUCUCCCUCCGGCCAUCAAGAAGAGGGGGCGGGGACCAGACUCCUGUCUUUCAAGCGUUAUCUUACCACAUGACCGCCACCCUGGCACUUACAGUGGAAACUUGCCGCUUCCAUUUCUAACUAGAGGAUCUUCCCGACCCAGGGAUAGGACCCACGUCUCCUGCGAGUCUCCAGCAUUGCAGGAGGAUUCUUUACCACCGAGCCACAAGGAAGCCCCGUGAUAACCUGUAGGAGAAACGAACCUGAAAAAGAGUGAACACGUGCACGCAUAUAACUGGAACGUUUUGCUGCACACCCGAAACCAACACCACAUCGUAAACCAAUAUGCUCCAAUAAAAUCAGAGUUAAAAAAUCUGCCCGGGCAGAUGUGGUUCCUUGCCAUUACCAGGGCUCCUGGGUUGUUUUCCUAAUCUCUAUAUAGAGGCUGCCCUCCAGGGCCCCCAUUUAACGCUGGGUCUCAGUAAUCCUGUG